ACGAACGCUGGCGGCGUGCUUAACACAUGCAAGUCGAACGGAAAGGCCCUGCUUGCAGGGUACUCGAGUGGCGAACGGGUGAGUAACACGUGGGUGAUCUGCCCUGCACUUCGGGAUAAGCCUGGGAAACUGGGUCUAAUACCGGAUAGGAGCCAUUUUUAGUGUGUUGGUUGGAAAGUUUUUUCGGUGUAGGAUGAGCUCGCGGCCUAUCAGCUUGUUGGUGGGGUAAUGGCCUACCAAGGCGGCGACGGGUAGCCGGCCUGAGAGGGUGGACGGCCACAUUGGGACUGAGAUACGGCCCAGACUCCUACGGGAGGCAGCAGUGGGGAAUAUUGCACAAUGGGCGCAAGCCUGAUGCAGCGACGCCGCGUGGGGGAUGACGGCCUUCGGGUUGUAAACUCCUUUCGCUAGGGACGAAGCUUUUUGUGACGGUACCUAGAUAAGAAGCACCGGCUAACUACGUG
rnacentral:rRNA from 1 species